rnacentral:rRNA from 1 species
UACGUAGGGUGCGAGCGUUGUCCGGAAUUACUGGGCGUAAAGCGUGCGUAGACGGUUAUUUAAGUCAGGUGUGAAAGCCCCGGGCUCAACCUGGGAAUUGCAUUUGAGACUGAAUAGCUAGGGUGCGGAAGAGGGAAGCGGAAUUUCCGGUGUAGCGGUGAAAUGCGUAGAUAUCGGAAGGAACACCAGUGGCGAAAGCGGCUUCCUGGUCCAGCACCGACGUUCAGGCACGAAAGCGUGGGGAGCAAACAGU